GCAAGACUCCGUCUCAAAAAGAAAAAAAAGAAGAAGAAGAAGAACAGAAAAUAUAGAUUACCAGAAGGACCAGGGGAUCACACACCUGAAAAAAGAUUUCUUGCUCAUUUGUUCCUUAGAUCUCCGCCAAGACUGCUGGCUCCAGGCUGCCAGCCACGUGCCUUGGGUACCCUACAAAUUCUGAGACCGGAUCCAAGAACCACACAACACAGAAUGAUACAGGAAUAUGAACCCAAAGGAUGCAGAGUCCCUAACUCAAACCCAGCCCUCAGGGGCCAGCUGUGCUCCAGGGUGCAGGGACAGAGAGACGCAAAGGCAACCCAGGCCGCUGUGGCUCCUGGGGCACACGGCCAGCAGUGGAAGUGGUGUCAGAAAGACAGAUGGAAACCUCCUCGCUGAAUGGGGCUGGGAACCACAGCGGUGGGACCAAGAGAGAGAACAGCUCAGACCUGAGAGUUACGCCUGUGUGUGAUCCAAGCUGUGACGUGUGUUUUAUUCACAGACAUAAAAGCUCAAAAUGAGGUAAAGUUUAUACAGGUGUCAGCCGUGGUGCCCACGACAGGGCCCACUUGUGUAUGGCCCCACUAACACAGCAGGAUGUAGCUGGUGCUCCUCGGGGGGAGAAAAGCUCCCAUGGGCAAAUCAGUUUGAGAAGCACUGAGACUUUUUUUUUUUUAGAUGGAGUCUCGCUCUGUUGGCUAAGCUGGA
rnacentral:lncRNA from 1 species